GACGAACCGUGCGAACGUUGUUCGGAUUCACUGGGCUUAAAGGGCGCGUAGGCGGGCGGUCAAGUCGGGGGUGAAAUCUUUCAGCUCAACUGGAAAAGUGCCUUCGAUACUGACGGUCUUGAGGGAGGUAGGGGCAUGUGGAACUUCCGGUGGAGCGGUGAAAUGCGUAGAUAUCGGAAGGAACGCCGGUGGCGAAAGCGACGUGCUGGACCUCUUCUGACGCUGAGGCGCGAAAGCUAGGGGAGCAAACAGG
rnacentral:rRNA from 1 species